AAUAAUCGUACCCGCUCAUUGCUUGUGCAGAAUGGCACUUCCGAGAGGAAAAUUAGACAUGCUGUUGACACUACUGUCACCUGAUUACAACCUAUUUGAUUAACUGAAUGCCUAGUUCAAUUCUUGAUAAAAUGUCAUUCUAUCAGAAAUUUGUUGAAAAAAAGGAAGCUUUAGAUGAAGUAUGCGAAAAAUGGGUUCUUCAUCAGCUGUAGAUAUUCCAGUAAUGCAGGAAAUUAUGUUGGAGUUUCGUGCUGGUAAAAUAGUUUUCGAUGGUAAAAAGUUUGUUCCUAAUUCUCAAAAAGGACUUGUUCGCAUUGGAAGGGGUGAUGAGGGUUUGCUUCAUUUCCAGUGGCUUGAUAGGACUUUGAAUGCUGUGGAAUCCUAGUUAUUAUUAUGUUUUUGAGCCUGGGGAUUUUGUUUCUCUCUUCCAACAUUGGUUUUUAUUUCCUUUUCUGUUGUUUGUUUUGUUAAUAUUCUUUUGAGGUGAGAACUUGGUAGCUUUUUCUUGAUGUGUUGAUUGACAGGAUCAGAUUAUUUUUUUCUGAAGAGGCUGUUUUUGAGAAGGUUAAUCAAGCUUUGGGAAGAGUUUACAUCUUGAAAUUCAAUACAGAUGAUGGAAAGUUUUUCAUUUGGAUGCAGGAGCCAAAAGCUAAAGAUGAUUUGUAGCUCUGUCAACUAUUAUAUUAAUCGUCCAUUUGCACUCAUUCAAGAGUGAAGUUUUUCCAUCAGCAACAUCGCUGCUUUAUCUUGUUGCCUGGCAGAGCUCCUUGAUGAAGAAGAGCCUGAUGCUUCUACUCCUCUCCAUCUUUUUGAAAACAUGCUUGAAGAUAAUAUCUCAUCAAGAUAUAUUUAUUAUAACAAAGAAGCAUACUCAAAGAUGAUACUUCAACUCUAAGAGUUGAUAUAGCAAGUAAGAGUAAGGAUAUAGAGCUAAGUAAUUUUUUGUUCUUUGAGACUAAGAGUCAGUGGAGCAGAAUGAGCCUUCCUUCUCUCCUUCUGGUCAGUCAUCUUGGAGAGCCUAUGUUUUUGCCUUGAUAAAGACUCCUAUCUUAUUUAUUCAAGAAAUAUCAAGAAAUUUUCCAAAAUCAUUUCUUGACAAAAACAUCUCACCCACAUUAGCCCAUGUCAAAUCUUUCAUCCCCUUAUGCCCUUGCACAGACUUGCCCUCGGGGUAAAUUCUAAAACUUGGGGCAUCUUUUAUAUGGCAAUUUAGAAUCAUAACUUGUUGUUUUUCCAUGUAUAUACAUGUUUAAUGCUUGUAAUUCAUUGUAAAAUAACUUCAAAAAGGUUAAGGAGCACUUUUAUUACCAAAAACAAAUGGCCCAGUAUAUAUUACGUUGCAAU